rnacentral:piRNA from 1 species
UNGGCAUUACUGGCUUAUGGUGUGGCAGG